UGAGAGGAAUUGAGGAUCCCCCUGUUCUGCGCAAAGCCCAGGAGAAGGAAGAGAUGCAGGAGGAGUUGCCUGUCUCCAGCCACUGCCCAGGCACAGGGGACAGAGGCACACCCACAGCCACUGUGGCGCAGCUGAGUUCCUCCACAGCCAGAAAUGGUGGGAGAAAACUCUGGUGCUGAGUCACAUUUCCUUCCCAUGGGCUCAUGCUGGGAUGGAUGGAUGCGCCUGCCCUGUGCCUGCAGGGCCUCACUGCAUGGCUCCUGCUGGGUGAGCGUGCUGGACUGAUCGAGGUGGAUGCAGUGGUCCCCGUCAGAUGUGUGCCAAAUUGAAAUGCCAGCAGCUGUGUGAGCAGCGGGAUAAUCAUAUCUGCUGCUUCUCUCUUCCAAGUCCUGGCAUUCCCAUUUCAGCAAUGGUGUGUCCGUGCUCAGCUCCGCGGGAGGAAAUCCAUUGACCGAAGCCAUGCUGACGCCUGGGGGAUGCGGUUACAUGUUCAUCAGUCACCUGUCUGACUGUGGACCCACUGGGUAGGGCGCUGGUGACUUAAUGCGUUGUUUU
rnacentral:lncRNA from 1 species